rnacentral:rRNA from 1 species
CAAUAGCGUAUAUUAAAGUUGUUGCGCUAAAAGCUCGUAGUUGGAUUUCUGCCGAGGACGUCCGGUCCGCCCUCUGGGAGUACAUGGCACCGCCUGGGCAUCUUCUUGGGAAACAUAUCUGCACUUGACUGUGUGGUGCGGUAUCCAGGACUUUUACUUUGAGGAAAUUAGAGUGUUUCAAGCGGGCACACGCCUUGAAUACAUUAGUAUGGAAUAAUAAGAUAGGACCUCGGUUCUAUUUUGUUGGUUUCUAGAGCUGAGGUAAUGGUUAAUAGGGAUAGUUGGAGGCAUUCGUAUUUAACUGUCAGAGGUAAAAUCCUGGAUUUCUUAAAAACGGACUACUGCGAAAGCAUUUGCCAAGGAUUCUUUCAUUGAUCAAGAACGAAAGUUAGGGGAUCGAAGAUGAUUAGAUACCGU